CAGUCCAGCCGCAGGGGCCACCCGAACAGUCUCUCCUCCUCACAGAAGCCUGCUUCUCACCUGGGGCGGGUGGGUUCUGCACCACCCUCCCACCCUCCUUCCUCCGUGUGGACGAUAGAGCCACAUCCAGCACCACGGACAGCUCCCGGGCGCCUUCAUCUCCUCGUCCUCCAGGCAGCACAAGCCAUUGUGGAAUCUCCACCAGGUGUACAGAACGGUGCCUCUGCGUCCUGCCACUCAGGACCUCUCAAGUCCCCGAUGUGAUGGCUCCUCAGCAUGAUCAGGAGAAAUUCCAUGAUCUUGCUUAUUCCUGUCUUGGGAAGUCCUUCUCCAUGUCUAACCAAGAUCUAUAUGGCUAUAGCACCAGCUCUUUGGCUCUUGGCUUGGCAUGGCUAAGUUGGGAGACCAAAAAGAAGAAUGUACUUCAUCUGGUUGGGCUGGAUUCCCUCUGAUAAGCCUUCCCAGUUGACUGAAAGAUGAGGCUAGGCUCUAGCAAGUUGAAGUCAAACCAGCUCCUUCAAGAAGCUUUGAGCAGAAUGAAGUGGGGAGGACCCAGCUUCCAGCCCAGGAAGCCCACUGUACCUGGAGCCAUCUGGGAUAAGACUUUGACCCAUGACUCCCAUAUCCACAGCCUGUCCAUCCUAGCCCAUCCCAGUUUAUCCUGUAUCAUUUGAGCUGGGAUUCCCACAUCCUCUGAGUUGGAAGUCCCAUCUCAAGUCUUCAAUAAAGACUCUUGAAUAUUGAA
rnacentral:lncRNA from 1 species